AUACGGAGGGGGCUAGCGUUGUUCGGAAUCACUGGGCGUAAAGCGCUCGUAGGCGGAUCAGUCAGUCAGAGGUGAAAUCCCAAGGCUCAACCUUGGAACUGCCUUUGAUACUGCUGGUCUUGAGGUCGAGAGAGGUAAGUGGAAUUCCUAGUGUAGAGGUGAAAUUCGUAGAUAUUAGGAAGAACACCAGUGGCGAAGGCGGCUUACUGGCUCGAUUCUGACGCUGAGGAGCGAAAGCGUGGGGAGCAAACAGGAUUAGAAACCCGGGUAGUCC
rnacentral:rRNA from 1 species